rnacentral:rRNA from 1 species
UGGAGGAAAGUAGGGGAUCGAAAGACCUUAUGCUUUUGGAGCGGCCGAUGUCUGAUUAGCUAGUUGGUAAGGUAAAGGCUUACCAAGGCGACGAUCAGUAGUUGGUCUGAGAGGACGACCAGCCACACUGGGACUGAGACACGGCCCAGACUCCUACGGGAGGCAGCAGUGGGGAAUUUUGGACAAUGGGCGAAAGCCUGAUCCAGCAAUGCCGCGUGAGUGAAGAAGGCCUUCGGGUUGUAAAGCUCUUUCAGUUGAAAAGAAAAAGCCGUGACUAAUAAUCAUGGUUCAUGACGGUAUCAACAGAAGAAGCACCGGCUAACUACGUGCCAGCAGCCGCGGUAAUACGUAGGGUGCAAGCGUUAAUCGGAAUUACUGGGCGUAAAGGGUGCGCAGGCGGUUCUGUAAGUCAGAUGUGAAAUCCCCGGGCUUAACCUGGGAACUGCGUUUGAAACUACAAGGCUAG